UUUUUAUGACCUAAUGGGCUCAGAAUGAAGCCCAGAAUUUUCUGGUAUUCGCAAGCUUUGCUAGGCGAGUGGCGUAGCGAAGGGUUCGCUAGGCGAAGGAAUUGCUCUCCUAGCGAGCAAACCAGUUUAGGCCAUUUUCUGGAUUUUGUCAUCUGUGUGUUGGGUCCUUGUUCUUUUAAGACCAAUGCCUUGAAAAAUAAGUUGGAGUGCCUUAGAAAUGCCUUGUAAU
rnacentral:lncRNA from 1 species